rnacentral:lncRNA from 1 species
ACCCCAUAUACUUAUGGUGGUGGUAUGUGAUUGUGCAUUGAACACUAUAAGGCCGUCAUAGCGAUGCAAACAGGGCAAUGGCCAAUACGAUAAUUUUCAAAUCACCUUUGUGUCCAGUCUAGUUCUGGUGUAAAAACUGCACUGCCAAUACACAGGGAAUCUUGUCGGACUGGAUGAAACUUUGGUUUGAUCCAGCACUGAUGCUCUUAUGAAUUAAAUCCAACUCCUAAGAUGCUCUGGUUCUCUUCAAACAUCUAAAUUCAACACAUUCUCGAUGUCUUCCAAGGCCAUUUAAAUGUUGCAUUGAAUAGGGUUUUUUUUGUAAGCUUUUAAUAUUGCUAAUGGGCUAAUAGACAGGUAGAAGUGUGUUAGCAAUAAAAAUGAGAUCGGGCCAAGAAUAUUAUAUUCAUGUAUCCUUCAAAUCAAACUCUCUCUUUAAGUUUUAAUUCCCACACCAUUCUCUCCCUCCAUUCCAUUUUAACAUUUCAUGAGCAAAAGAAAACUAUGAGAGGAAGCAUGGAAAAUUUAAAUUAAGCUGCACUGAUUCAAUACAAGCAGGGCCUGGAUGAAGUUGCUCAUGAAAAUUAUUGCCAUUAUCAAGAAAUGCUUUAAUUUUUCACCCCCCCUUUUUUUAGCUAAUUGGACUUGCCUAUGUGACUGAUAAAAACAACAAUAUUGUCUCUCCGUUGCCACCCUGUUGCUCUCAAUGACAUCAUAAUGUAGCCCAAAUCUGACUGGAUACAGUUCACCAUGAGGUCAUCACAUUCACUAUGUGAAUCCUGAUUGGAAUAUGGGUUCAUGUGGCAGAGUCAGGAAGGACAAAGCAUCAACAGCAGCCAGGGAGAAAUGGUGUCAUAGCAGUAGCCAUAGGAAACAGUGACAAUGAUCUGGAUGAAAAGUAGGUGAGUUUUUACGUAAUUUAGUCAUUUUCUACCCAGUGAAAUCUCUAUUUUCAAUUUGAAAACUUGGCAGCUGUGGGAUGCCAUCCAUUGAAUUUGCUCAAGUUCAAUCAAACACUUUUGGUUGUGUUGUUCAAGAUGCAUUUAUGACUGAACAAGAAACGGUAAAAGCAGAAAAUGUCAGCUGAAUACCUGCUUCUUCUGUAGGUCUUUAUAGCAAUUUUGCUAGAUUCAAGAGGCUUGUAGUUUUUGGAGAAGUUUCCAAGAAGCAUCUGUAUGGUUUUGUGAAUAAAUGAACUCAUGAACUUUUGGAGAUUAACUAGACUCUAAUAAAUAAUGUCCUUCUAUAGUUUUUAAUCUACUCUGGCAGAAGUGUGGAAUAAAGAUGUUAAGUUCUUAAUAUCUCUUGAGAAAGCAUCCAAAUGUCAGGUUGUACAAUACUGUGCCUUUCUUUGUAAAACCCUGGAAGCCUAGUUUACAAAAAGGAAUGUAAUACAGGGGGAGAUCAUUGUGGAUUACAAAGCAGCUUCUGAAAAUGUCAGUGGUAAAUAGCCAGCAAAUCCCUUAUUAUCAAUAUCAUGGCAUUGAUAUACAGCACAAAGGCAUAUAUGAUACUUGCAAAUCCAUAUCGCAUCAAACAUUUUAGUCAGUAGCAAUCCCUCAGACCCAAGCGAAACACAGGUCUAAUACAUGUGGGAUCUUGGGUUUUAUUAAUGAUUAAGUUACAGGGACUCCUCUUGCACAAAUGAACUUGAUUUUAAUUGAGUUCUAUGAAAAUGUGCCUGGGGUGUUUCUUGCUUUCCUUAUGUCUAAACAUCACAAAAGAGAUUAAAACCCCUUUUUGGGAAAUGAGUCUUCAUUAGGAAGGAAUAAACUGCUUCCACCUUUGGUUUCCCAUGAAGUGAAAAGUGUCUCGCAGUGGAACACAGGCAGUUAUUGACCUCAACCUCUGUGGACUAAAUCAGAUGUAACCUUCGUGCCAUUUGAGCUCAUGCACAAUCUGGUCUAAUGCUACUCUGAUCACCUAUUGUAACAUAAAUGCUAUCUUGUGGCGUCAAGUGAAAAGACAGCUGUCUUCUGUUCAAGUCAAUUGCUUACUAAUGAGCAUGGAUGGUCAUCUGAUGCUUUCCAGGCUUAGCUGAAGGUGCUUGGUUUUUGAUGGCUGUUUCCUCAAUGACCACUGCUAAGGAUAUAGGUGUGGCCUGAAAAGAGGGGGAGAGGCUGAGGAAGAAAUUUGGCCUGCAGGGAUUCCCAAAAGCCACAGAGAGAGAGGCCUGGAGGGCCGCAUCUGACCUGUGGGUCUGAGGUUCCCAAGCCUGGUCUGAUAUUCCUGUGAACCAUGAAGGGAUUAAUCGGCAUUUACGGUUUUGCUUAAUUAAUUCAGACUCACAAACCUGAAGGAUAAAGAACAUUGAACCAUUUCCCACUAAAAAUCAUGAUUUAUUGCAAUUAAACAAUUACAUUAUAAAUGGUAAUUUUGGUGCAAAAUCCUUUUUAUUUUUAAUUGACAAGGCUCAUCAGUUCCAAGCAAAGAUUGAUUCAUGUUGCUUGGAAGUCUUGUUAAGCAAUCCCAUUAUUGUUAUAUUUUUUUACUUCUCUGGGCUGUUUGUAAGAAAGCAUAUUCACCCCAAACGGUAAUUUGCCAUAAAAAAAUAGAUAAAAUAUUGCAGUGGUAACUAACCAGAAAGAAUAAAAUGAUGAUGGAAUUGAGAAAGUUGUACUUGCACAAAAAGCUUUCAAAAUCAGCAUCCUCAGGCUUGAUUAGCAUGAAUGAAAAAAAGAAAUCUCACAUAAAUAAAUAAAAUGCUAGCAACUACUACCUCCUACUUUACUUGUGGGCUCUGCGGUUUAGGGAGCAGAGGGAGGGGUACUCUAGAAGUCUGAGGCAAGCAAGGGCCCACAGCCCAGCUCCCUAACUGGCCAGGUGGGGCUCGCUAGCUCUGGGAGGAGGUGUGUGAUAACUCAGGUGGAGUAGGCUUAGAACAGGUGAGGGUCACAUGUCUCAUCAGGCCCAGAUGCUGUAACAGGCAUGCAAAGUACAGAAGGGCAGCAGAGCAAAGGUUCUGUUUCUGUUGAACUGCCCAUGUUGAUGGCCCUCAGCUUGUGAGACUCUGUUUCUGUAUGGACUUUGGACACAUGGAUUGAUCCUGGACUGGGGACUUAACAUACUGACUUGCUGCCAGGUAGGCCAGAGGUUCAGGACACAGGAGAUGGUGAAAAUUCAACUCUUGAUUGCUUAAUCACUGCUAACAGGAGGGGUUGUAGCUCAGUGGUAGAGAAUAUGCAUUAUGUGGCUUGAUUCCUGGCAUUGUCAGGUAGGGAUGGGAAAGUCUUCUAGCUGAAACUCUGAGAAGUUUCAGUUGGUGUAGAACAGUGAUUGCUAAACUUGGCCCUCCAGCUGUUUUGGGACUACAAUUCCCAUCAUCCCUGACCACAGGUCCUGUUAGCUAGGGGUGAUGGGAGUUGUAGUCCCAAAACAGCUGGAGGGCCAAGUUUGGUCAUCACUGGUGUAGAAGAUCACACUAAAUUGACAAGUGAAUCAUAGAAUCAUAGAAUCAUAGAGUUGGAAGAGACCACAAGGGCCAUCGAGUCCAACCCCCUGCCAAGCAGGAAACACCAUCAGAGCACUCCUGACAUAUGGUUGUCAAGCCUCUGCUUAAAGACCUCCAAAGAAGGAGACUCCACCACACUCCUUGGCAGCAAAUUCCACUGUCAAACAGCUCUUACUGUCAGGAGGUUCUUCCUAAUGUUUAGGUGGAAUCUUAUUUCUUGUAGUUUGGAUCCAUUGCUCCGUGUCCGCUUCUCUGGAGCAACAGAAAACAACCUUUCUCCCUCCUCUAUGUGACAUCCUUUUAUAUAUUUGAACAUGGCUAUCAUAUCACCCCUUAACCUCCUCUUCUCCAGGCUAAACAUGCCCAGCUCCCUUAGCCGUUCCUCAUAAGGCAUCGUUUCCAGGCCUUUGACCAUUUUGGUUGCCCUCCUCUGGACACGUUCCAGUUUGUCAGUGUCCUUCUUGAACUGUGGUGCCCAGAACUGGACACAGUACUCCAGGUGAGGUCUGACCAGAGCAGAAUACAGUGGCACUAUUACUUCCCUUGAUCUAGAUGCUCUGACUUGGUUCCUGUGUUCCUAAACCAGAAAAUGGGUCAUGGGAUUAUGCCAUCCCUCCUGGAAUAUGAAAUCUCAUAAAUUUGGAUAUGGUUUCAAACCCUGACUAAGUAGUAACCCAGUUUAGUUCUAACUAAGUGCUGACAUAAUGAUCUACUGCAGAGAAUUUAUGCUCUGUGAGAGGUAUUGGAAAGAUCAUUGUUGAACCAUGUUAAGCAAUUGGCAGUGUUACAUCUCCAGAAAGAUAUUUCUUUUGAAGAUCUCAUGUGUUAGAAGCAUGACAUGAAACCCGUUAUAGCAUCUAGUGCGAAUUACACCACCUCUUUGCAUGCUUACCAGUGGUGAAUCGCUCCAGAAUUUGCCACCUUGGAGAUAUGCCUAGCAUGAGGCUGUAAAUCAGAUGUAAUUCUCUGCUUUAGUGCUGCUUAUAUGAGUAUUGGCAAAAAAGUGGUCUAGUCUGUUGAUACAGCUUCAGUCAAUUAAAAAAAAAAGCAGAAUGAAUUAUUAGAGAUACAGUUAAUUUGGCUUCUCUUUGAGUGCAUAGAUAAAUUCCUUGAAUCUCAUUAAUUGUUUUCCUGUAGUGAACAGGAAAAUGUAUUCCCAGAGAACUGAGCUGAAAAUGGUAUCUCAUAUUCUUAAAAUUAACUGGGGUGGUGGUGGUGGUGGUUAGAAAUGUAUAACCUAGCGGAUAAUGUUAGUGUUUAAUACAGAUGGGAAAUGGUGUGUGUAUAAAAUCCCUGGUGUUGAAUUAAUAUAAAAAGUGGCAGUUCUCUGCUUUAGCAUGCUGCAGCCUCUUAGAUUUUGUUUCUUACACCUGGCUAAGCACCCAUUCAAUAUGAGUAAUCAUUCAGAAUGAUACCUAUAGACUAAUAAUGCUCAACAGACCUCUGGUUAAUUUUGUGGUUAGUGAGUUGGGAAAUUGUGGAGGUACACCAUGAAAACAUUGCUAAGCAGUAAAUUAUCCUAGACUUGGUUGCUGGUAAAACCUUGGAAUCAAAGCAUGUAAUACACAGAGGAACGGCUUUCAAUCUGUGUUCCAUAGGCUUCCUCAAUGAGAAGAUCAGAAUGGUAGGCAAGGAUAGGUGGGCCACCGCUGUCAAUCUUCCCUUGCCGUUGUUCACUGUAGCAUGGGUUUGGGCAAUGCUCGCUGUAUGAACCAUGCUGCUAGAACGUUCCCCAGAGUCCUCUGCAACAAGCAGGGGGUUCCUGGCAGGUAUUCCACAGCAGAUAAGUUGAGAUAGAAAGGAUUUCCUGAAGCCAGACAGUUUGCAAAUGACUAGUAUAGACCUUACCAUGGAGCAAUGGGUAUUUGGACUCUACACUGAAAUAUAUUAGCGUGGUUUUGGUGGGUGGGGAAGAAGUCUCUGCCCUGAGGAGUUUUCAUGAAAAGGGGGGACAAGGGGGGGAAUACAAAUGAAUGCAGUUGCACAAUGCUUGGGAGCAAGCCAACCGAAGUCACUUGGAUUUACUUAUGAGUAAACAUGCAGAGGAUUGCACCAUGGGGGUAAGGACUAAUCAUUAAGUCAGACUUUUCAUGGAAAAGGUGGGUUUUGUUUAGGGAUUUUGCUCUAUUUAUUUACUCCUGUCAUAUAAUUUAAAAAGUUAUCGGGGCAGCUUAUAACACCAUAAUAAGGCGAAUUAAGAAUGAUUAGCAAUAAAAUAAAAGGUAGCAAUAAAAAAUAAUGCAGCUUGAAAACACAUGGAGAAGACAAGGAUGAAAACAGAUCAGGUUUGAAAGGCCUGGCGAAAAGAAAAUGGUCUUUGAUGUCAGGAAGGUGGGCUUUCUCUGGGAAGGCCGGCACUGAAGAGAACAGAAUGGGCGCAAUAUAUGGUACUGCCACCACCCCAUUGCUGCUCCUGCUUACUUUUAAAGAGUUUUGCCUCCACUGAUAAUGAUGUUCUGAGAGGGUCUUCCCUCAGAGCAAAACAUUCUAGGCAAGGUGGCCCAGAAGAACACUGGUACUGCCACAAAUUUUCCAUGGCAGCUAGAAAUGACCUAUAAAUGUUGAAGCAGGAGUUGUGUCCCAUGGAUGUUUUUGGAUUCCAACUCUCAUCAGCCCCAGCCAUCAUGACCAAUGGGCAGAGAUGAUGGUUUGUUGUCAAUAUUUAUUCUUGCAAUCUCAUUUUUGACCACAUCCAACUUACCAAGGUUCAUGGUUCUUACAUUCCAGCUUCCUAUGCAAUAUUUUUCUUUACAGCAUUGGACUUUCCUUUCGCUUCCAGGCAUAUCCACAACUGAGGACCUUUCGGCUUUGGCCUAGCCGCUUCAUCAGCUCUGAAUCUACUUGUACUUGUCCUCUGCUCUUCCUCAGUAGCAUGUUGAACGCCUUCUGACCUGAGGGGCUCAUCUUCCAGCGUCAUAACUUUUAUAU